UACGAAGGGGGCUAGCGUUGCUCGGAAUCACUGGGCGUAAAGGGUGCGUAGGCGGGUCUUUAAGUCAGGGGUGAAAUCCUGGAGCUCAACUCCAGAACUGCCUUUGAUACUGAGGAUCUUGAGUUCGGGAGAGGUGAGUGGAACUGCGAGUGUAGAGGUGAAAUUCGUAGAUAUUCGCAAGAACAUCAGUGGCGAAGGCGGCCAUCUGGACUGACACUGACACUGAGACACGAAAGCGUGGGGAGCAAACAGG
rnacentral:rRNA from 1 species